rnacentral:rRNA from 1 species
UGUAUAAUGGGUCAGCGACUUAUAUUCUGUAGCAAGGUUAACCGAAUAGGGGAGCCGAAGGGAAACCGAGUCUUAACUGGGCGUUAAGUUGCAGGGUAUAGACCCGAAACCCGGUGAUCUAGCCAUGGGCAGGUUGAAGGUUGGGUAACACUAACUGGAGGACCGAACCGACUAAUGUUGAAAAAUUAGCGGAUGACUUGUGGCUGGGGGUGAAAGGCCAAUCAAACCGGGAGAUAGCUGGUUCUCCCCGAAAGCUAUUUAGGUAGCGCCUCGUGAAUUCAUCUCCGGGGGUAGAGCACUGUUUCGGCAAGGGGGUCAUCCCGACUUACCAACCCGAUGCAAACUGCGAAUACCGGAGAAUGUUAUCACGGGAGACACACGGCGGGUGCUAACGUCCGUCGUGAAGAGGGAAACAACCCAGACCGCCAGCUAAGGUCCCAAAGUCAUGGUUAAGUGGGAAACGAUGUGGGAAGGCCCAGACAGCCAGGAUGUUGGCUUAGAAGCAGCCAUCAUUUAAAGAAAGCGUAAUAGCUCACUGGUCGAGUCGGCCUGCGCGGAAGAUGUAACGGGGCUAAACCAUGCACCGAAGCUGCGGCAGCGACGCUUAUGCGUUGUUGGGUAGGGGAGCGUUCUGUAAGCCUGCGAAGGUGUGCUGUGAGGCAUGCUGGAGGUAUCAGAAGUGCGAAUGCUGACAUAAGUAACGAUAAAGCGGGUGAAAAGCCCGCUCGCCGGAAGACCAAGGGUUCCUGUCCAACGUUAAUCGGGGCAGGGUGAGUCGACCCCUAAGGCGAGGCCGAAAGGCGUAGUCGAUGGGAAACAGGUUAAUAUUCCUGUACUUGGUGUUACUGCGAAGGGGGGACGGAGAAGGCUAUGUUGGCCGGGCGACGGUUGUCCCGGUUUAAGCGUGUAGGCUGGUUUUCCAGGCAAAUCCGGAAAAUCAAGGCUGAGGCGUGAUGACGAGGCACUACGGUGCUGAAGCAACAAAUGCCCUGCUUCCAGGAAAAGCCUCUAAGCAUCAGGUAACAUCAAAUCGUACCCCAAACCGACACAGGUGGUCAGGUAGAGAAUACCAAGGCGCUUGAGAGAACUCGGGUGAAGGAACUAGGCAAAAUGGUGCCGUAACUUCGGGAGAAGGCACGCUGAUAUGUAGGUGAAGUCCCUCGCGGAUGGAGCUGAAAUCAGUCGAAGAUACCAGCUGGCUGCAACUGUUUAUUAAAAACACAGCACUGUGCAAACACGAAAGUGGACGUAUACGGUGUGACGCCUGCCCGGUGC